ACUCCGCGGUACAGUCUCGUCUGCGUAUAGUCGUGGGAAGGAAAGAGGGGCUCCAGCGUCUCCCUGAGAGGCUGAGGGAGCGAGGAACCGCCGAGCCCUCCUUCCCCUGCUCGGCGGGCCCUGGCUGCAGCUAGCAGCUCUCCACCAUGCCCGGGGGCGUACCCUGGUCCGCCUACUUGAAAAUGCUUUCCUCCAGCCUCCUGGCCAACAAUACCUGAAAUCCCACCAAAGCCUGGAGAACUCUAAAUGGAGCUUUUGGGACUGAAAGAGAGACGCCACGAACCUCAUGUUUCACAGCAGUAGAAACUUAAAAAUAACAGCUGUGCCAAGAAUUCUGUGAAUAAUGUCUUAAAUAUGUAUUUUAAACUUUAUUAAGUAAAACUACUUCUUAAAACACUUAAUUUAGGGGGCUCAAUGGCUCAGAGGUUAAGAGCACUGUCUGCUCUUACAGAGGUUCUGAGUUCAAUUCCCAGCAACCACUUGGUGGUUCAUAACCAUCUAUGAGUUGUACCCUGUUCUGGCCUGCAAGCAGAAUGCUGUAUACAUAACAAAUCUUAAUAUUUUUUUAAAGAUAGUCUUACUAUACAUUCUAGGCUCACCUAGAACUUGCUAUGUAGAUCAGGCUGGCCUCUAGUUCACAGGAUCUAUAGGUCUCUAAAGAUAUCCUGACCGAAGUGUUGCCGUUUCAAACAAAACUACAGCAAGAUCCAUGACUGUCUUGUCAUCUUCAUCUUCCUGAUAGAAGGCUCUGUGAGAUAAAUGACUUCAUAGCCCUUCUUCAGAAGUCUCUCAACAAAUGGAGAAGAUUCCGCCUACAAGAUUAAAGGAAGUAUGUGUUUUCAAGUUCUGCCUUGGCACAUUAGCUGUGUGAGACAAAGACUAAAGGUAGUGUCCUCUGGUGUCUGCCUAACUAUCCCAGCUACACAAUUAACUUAUUUCCUCUCCCACAUUGGCUGUAUGCCUCCAGCUCCCAGGGACCCUAGCAGCUGCACUUCAUCUUACCUCCUUUCUGCUUGACCCAGCCAUGAAGUAGAUUUUGUCCUGUUUUUCCUUCAUUCUUUCCACAUACUGGUCUAAACUAGUAAUGUCAGUUGAAUGGUGAGAAGACUGGAACCUAAGAAGUUUAGCAAGCCGUGUUCGAUUUGAGUGGUCUUCAAUCACACCAAGCUUGAUAUUCGUGCCGAACUCCUUCCAGAAAGUGUCGUUAUACUUCUCAUCAGCAAUCUUCUUGAUCAUGUCCAGAGUUUUUCGGACAAGCUUCUUCCUAAUCACCUAAAGAAAAUGGAAUCUGGUUAGGAAGGUUUAUCUCAAACCUUUGCUUCUGAGACCAGGAUAGCAGCAACUGAGACAGCACAACUGCCACACCACUCAGCAAGGGACAGGAAGCACCAGGGCACUCCCACAUCAGACUGUGUUAGAAUUAACGACAACUGUUUCUAAUAUAUUCCAAUGCUAGAAC
ensembl:lincRNA